AUGAACGCUAGCUACAGGCUUAACACAUGCAAGUCGAGGGGCAGCAUGACCUAGCAAUAGGUUGAUGGCGACCGGCGCACGGGUGAGUAACACGUAUCCAACCUACCGGUUAUUCUGGGAUAGCCUUUCGAAAGAAAGAUUAAUACCGGAUAGUAUAACGAGAAGGCAUCUUUUUGUUAUUAAAGAAUUUCGAUAAUCGAUGGGGAUGCGUUCCAUUAGUUUGUUGGCGGGGUAACGGCCCACCAAGACAUCGAUGGAUAGGGGUUCUGAGAGGAAGGUCCCCCACAUUGGAACUGAGACACGGUCCAAACUCCUACGGGAGGCAGCAGUGAGGAAUAUUGGUCAAUGGACGAGAGUCUGAACCAGCCAAGUAGCGUGAAGGAUGACUGCCCUAUGGGUUGUAAACUUCUUUUAUAUGGGAAUAAAGUGAGCCACGUGUGGCUUUUUGUAUGUACCAUACGAAUAAGGAUCGGCUAACUCCGUGCCAGCAGCCGCGGUAAUACGGAGGAUCCGAGCGUUAUCCGGAUUUAUUGGGUUUAAAGGGAGCGUAGGCGGACUAUUAAGUCAGCUGUGAAAGUUUGCGGCUCAACCGUAAAAUUGCAGUUGAUACUGGUCGUCUUGAGUGCAGUAGAGGUAGGCGGAAUUCGUGGUGUAGCGGUGAAAUGCUUAGAUAUCACGAAGAACUCCGAUUGCGAAGGCAGCUUACUGGACUGUAACUGACGCUGAUGCUCGAAAGUGUGGGUAUCAAACAGGAUUAGAUACCCUGGUAGUCCACACAGUAAACGAUGAAUACUCGCUGUUUGCGAUAUACAGCAAGCGGCCAAGCGAAAGCAUUAAGUAUUCCACCUGGGGAGUACGCCGGCAACGGUGAAACUCAAAGGAAUUGACGGGGGCCCGCACAAGCGGUGGAGUAUGUGGUUUAAUUCGAAGCAACGCGAAGAACCUUACCAGGUCUUGACAUCGAUCUAAAGGCUCCAGAGAUGGAGAGAUAGCUAUAGAGAAGACAGGUGGUGCAUGGUUGUCGUCAGCUCGUGCCGUGAGGUGUCGGCUUAAGUGCCAUAACGAGCGCAACCCUUAUCUUUAGUUACUAACAGGUCAUGCUGAGGACUCUAGAGAGACUGCCGUCGUAAGAUGUGAGGAAGGUGGGGAUGACGUCAAAUCAGCACGGCCCUUACGUCCGGGGCUACACACGUGUUACAAUGGGGGGUACAGAAGGCAGCUACACAGCGAUGUGAUGCUAAUCCCAAAAGCCUCUCUCAGUUCGGAUUGGAGUCUGCAACCCGACUCCAUGAAGCUGGAUUCGCUAGUAAUCGCGCAUCAGCCACGGCGCGGUGAAUACGUUCCCGGGCCUUGUACACACCGCCCGUCAAGCCAUGAAAGCCGGGGGUACCUGAAGUCCGUAACCGCAAGGAGCGGCCUAGGGUAAAACUGGUAAUUGGGGCU
rnacentral:rRNA from 1 species